rnacentral:rRNA from 1 species
AUUGAACGCUGGCGGCAGGCUUAACACAUGCAAGUCGAGCGGGGUGAUGGUGCUUGCACUAUCACUUAGCGGCGGACGGGUGAGUAAUGCUUAGGAAUCUGCCUAUUAGUGGGGGACAACAUCUCGAAAGGGAUGCUAAUACCGCAUACGUCCUACGGGAGAAAGCAGGGGAUCACUUGUGACCUUGCGCUAAUAGAUGAGCCUAAGUCGGAUUAGCUAGUUGGUGGGGUAAAGGCCUACCAAGGCGACGAUCUGUAGCGGGUCUGAGAGGAUGAUCCGCCACACGGGGACUGAGACACGGCCCAGACUCCUACGGGAGGCAGCAGUGGGGAAUAUUGGACAAUGGGGGGAACCCUGAUCCAGCCAUGCCGCGUGUGUGGAGAAGGCCUUUUGGUUGUAAAGCACUUUAAGCGAGGAGGAGGCUACCUGGAUUAAUACUCUAGGAUAGUGGACGUUACUCGCAGAAUAAGCACCGGCUAACUCUGUGCCAGCCGCCGCUGUAA